GAAAAGAGUCUUCUCCAACUAAAUUUGAGUAUGUUCGCCUUCACGGUGUGCACUGGGGUCACCUUGAGACACAGGAGUCAACAUCUACGACAGGCUUGAAAAGAAGGACGCACAUGGCCUGGACAGCAACUUCGUCUUGACCUCAUAAAGAAGCUGUGCCCUGGGAUCAGAGCAACUGUGUUAAAAUGCUGAAGACCAUGCUUUGGCUCACAGAAUAAAGAGCUUAACCAUAAACUGCACUCUUACAUGGACCACAUGAUCUUGCUGUAAGAAAA
rnacentral:lncRNA from 1 species